rnacentral:rRNA from 1 species
GACGAACGCUGGCGGCGUGCUUAACACAUGCAAGUCGAACGAAGUGGCGAACGGGUGAGUAACGCGUAAUCAACCUGCCCUUCAGAGGGGGACAACAGUUGGAAACGACUGUUAAUACCGCAUACUGAAGGAGGGGAUUGCGUCUGAUUAGCUAGUUGGAGGGGUAACGGCCCACCAAGGCGAUGAUCAGUAGCCGGUCUGAGAGGAUGAACGGCCACAUUGGGACUGAGACACGGCCCAGACUCCUACGGGAGGCAGCAGUGGGGAAUCUGCCGCAAUGGACGAAAGUCUGACGGAGCAACGCCGCGUGCGGGACGAAGGCCUUCGGGUUGUAAACCGCUUUCAGCAGGGACGCGGUACCUGCAGAAGAAGCCCCGGCUAACUACGUGCCAGCAGCCGCGGUAAUAC